AAGUCAUAUUGAGGGCACUUACGGAUCAGUUCCUGGAAUCUGGUCCAGGCUGCACACAAAUUCUCUCCUGGUUGUUGAGUAAAGUUGGUAAUUUCAUUUACCAACUU